AGUUGGUCCGAAAGCUGUGGGUUAUCAUAUUUGUCUCCCCCACAACCCCACAACCAUGUUUGACUGACUGUGUUUU
ensembl:misc_RNA Y_RNA Y RNA